rnacentral:rRNA from 1 species
UACAGAGGGUGCGAGCGUUAAUCGGAAUUACUGGGCGUAAAGGGCGCGUAGGCGGUUUGAUGGGUGUGAUGUGAAAGCCCUGGGCUUAACCUGGGAAGUGCAUCGCAAACUAUGAAACUGGAGUAGAUGAGAGGGUGGCGGAAUUUCCGGUGUAGCGGUGAAAUGCGUAGAGAUCGGAAGGAACGUCGAUGGCGAAGGCAGCCACCUGGCAUCAUACUGACGCUGAGGCGCGAAAGCGUGGGGAGCGAACAGG